rnacentral:rRNA from 1 species
GUGAGGAAUAUUGGUCAAUGGGCGCGAGCCUGAACCAGCCAAGUAGCGUGCAGGACGACUGCCCUAUGGGUUGUAAACUGCUUUUAUGCGGGGAUAAAGUGACGUACGUGUACGUUUUUGCAGGUACCGCAUGAAUAAGGACCGGCUAAUUCCGUGCCAGCAGCCGCGGUAAUACGGAAGGUCCUGGCGUUAUCCGGAUUUAUUGGGUUUAAAGGGAGCGCAGGCGGGAGGUUAAGCGUGACGUGAAAUGUAGCCGCUCAACGGCUGAACUGCGUCGCGAACUGGCUUUCUUGAGUGAGUACGACGUCAGCGGAAUUCGUGGUGUAGCGGUGAAAUGCUUAGAUAUCACGAAGAACCCCGAUUGCGAAGGCAGCUGACGAGUCCUUUACUGACGCUAAAGCUCGAAGGUGCGGGUAUCGAACAGG